GAAUUGAGUGGCAAACGGGUGAGUAACACGUAAACAACCUGCCUUCAGGAUGGGGACAACAGACGGAAACGACUGCUAAUACCGAAUAAGUUCCAAGAGCCGCAUGGCCCAUGGAAGAAAAGGUGGCCUCUACCUGUAAGCUAUCGCCUGAAGAGGGGUUUGCGUCUGAUUAGCUGGUUGGAGGGGUAACGGCCCACCAAGGCGACGAUCAGUAGCCGGUCUGAGAGGAUGAACGGCCACACUGGAACUGAGACACGGUCCAGACUCCUACGGGAGGCAGCAGUGGGGAAUCUUCCGCAAUGGGCGAAAGCCUGACGGAGCAACGCCGCGUGAGUGAUGACGGCCUUCGGGUUGUAAAACUCUGUGAUCCGGGACGAAAAGGCAGAGUGCGAAGAACAAACUGCAUUGACGGUACCGGAAAAGCAAGCCACGGCUAACUACGUGCCAGCAGCCGCGGUAAUACGUAGGUGGCAAGCGUUGUCCGGAAUUAUUGGGCGUAAAGCGCGCGCAGGCGGCUUCCCAAGUCCCUCUUAAAAGUGCGGGGCUUAACCCCGUGAUGGGAAGGAAACUGGGAAGCUGGAGUAUCGGAGAGGAAAGUGGAAUUCCUAGUGUAGCGGUGAAAUGCGUAGAGAUUAGGAAGAACACCGGUGGCGAAGGCGACUUUCUGGACGAAAACUGA
rnacentral:rRNA from 1 species